CGACGGCCGACCUCUGGGACGGCCGGGUCGCGCACUUCCAGGUCGUCGACGCGGUCGGCGGCUACGUCCGGGUCCGGGUG
rnacentral:sRNA from 1 species